GUAGGCCCCUCUCACUGCCCACACCGCAAACCAGCAUCACCCCCCCCCCUGCCCGCAGCCCUACUCCUAGCCCUGCCCUGCAUCCUCCAGGACAUUCCUUCCCACAAACGUGGCCCUAUUGAAAAGAAACCAUAACUAUACCCACUAAAAAGACCCAAUAAGAAACCAACUAAAAGACCAAAAGCACAACAAACCAACCAAGACUGAAGCUGAAACUACACCGAAGGCCCUUUAACAACCAAUUCACCCACUUAAAGCCCUACAAAAACAAACGCACAGAGCUUCCCAAGCAAUAAACCCCAAAGAACCAAACUACCAAACUAACCAGCCAAAUAUCCCAAAAUGGGGGGAGGGGAAGAAUCACCCAGGGGUGUAGCUAUAACUGAGCGGAUGGGCUCAAAGAACCCGGGCCCCUCGCUCUUGAGGGCCCCGCCAGGUCCACCCCUCCCUGUUUUCUUCAUGAUCUCCUUCACUCCGAGGGGCCACCACCAGGGAGAGGGAGAACACGGGGAACCUCUCCCCAGCGAAUCUGACGCAAGGAGGCAAUCCACAGCAAGGAAGGCAAUCCCACGAGGGGAGAAACGCAAAAAGGCUGGCACAGCAAGGGAAUCGGAGGACACAGCGCUGCUACUGCUGAAAGAGAUUUACCAGACAAAGGGCAUCAAUAUGGACCAGGCUCUCUUAUAAUGGCAAACUGACGAGCUGCACCGGUCUGGUAAGUCGUCUUGUUCCUUGGACAGCCUCUGCUAUUUGAGUGACAUUUUCCAUUUUUGUUGUUCUGGCUCUUGGCUCACCAGUCAGACAAAAUACCAGCAGCUCUGGCCCCAGGAGAGAGAGUCUCGCCCGCCCGCCCGCCCCGGAGGAGAGAGAGAGAGACUGGCUCGGCCGCCCCAAGUAAUUCCUGUUCUCCUGCUGUUAGCACUCUGGCAUUAGCCCUGCAUGCCCCACAGCAGCCCUGCUGCAUAGUUUCUCCCCAGGGCUGCACAACUUCAAAAUCUCCAGGUCUGUGUGGACUACAACUCCCAUGAUCCCCAGCCACAGUGAUCCCCCUAUCACACCCACCUCUAAUGGCCUUCAGGACACGCCCACUUGAGAGCCCAUUAUGGCAGUUGGGACCAACCUUUGUCCUGUGCACGUCCCACCCAGGCAGGCAGUCCCUUCUCGCCAAAGAGGCCCAGGAGGCAGGGUGCCCAGCUGGCAGUCGGGAGGCACACUCCAGGUUGACACGCCAAGUGCAGGGCUGACUCGCCGUGUCAUGGGGUGCCUGGCAAAGCAGCCGUGCCUCCCCCCUGUCCCACAGUCAGCAUUUCCUGUAACGGGUUCUUGGAUGCUCUUGGCCACAGCACUCCUCAUCCCCAGCUGCAUUCGCCACCUCGCCUCACCCACCAGACCUGCAGCCCUAGUUCUGAGCAGUGCCAUUUGGGAUGACCAAGUUCUGGAUGAGAACCUCCGUAGUAGUGGUGGACAUAAGAAGAGGCCGGUCUUGGCUGGUCAGAUCACAAAUGGCUGUUGGAAAUUUAUGCACUUUGUAAAAUAUGUCAAAUUAAAAAUGGUAUUUAAGUUUUUCCAGUAA